rnacentral:rRNA from 1 species
CCUACGGGCGGCAGCAGUGAGGAAUAUUGGUCAAUGGGCGCGAGCCUGAACCAGCCAAGUCGCGUGAGGGAUGACGGUCCUAUGGAUUGUAAACCUCUUUUGUCGGGGAGCAAAAGGCGCCACGCGUGGCGUUCCGUGAGUACCCGAAGAAAAAGGAUCGGCUAACUCCGUGCCAGCAGCCGCGGUAAUACGGAGGAUGCGAGCGUUAUCCGGAUUUAUUGGGUUUAAAGGGUGCGCAGGCGGAAGAUCAAGUCAGCGGGAAAAUUGAGGGGCUAAACCUCUUCGUGCCGUUGAAACUGGUUUUCUUGAGUAAACGAGAGGUAUGCGGAAUGCGUGGUGUAGCAGUGAAAUGCAUAGAUAUCACGCAGAACUCCGAUUGCGAAGGCAGCAUACCGGCGCUCAACUGACGCUCAUGCACGAAAGUGUGGGUAUCGAACAGGAUUAGAUACCCGGGUAGUC